UACGGGGGGGGCAAGCGUUGUUCGGAAUUACUGGGCGUAAAGGGCUCGUAGGCGGCCAACUAAGUCAGACGUGAAAUCCCCAGGCUUAACCUGGGAACUGCGUCUGAUACUGGAUGGCUUGAAUUCGGGAGAGGGAUGCAGAAUUCCAGGUGUAGCGGUGAAAUGCGUAGAUAUCGAGAGGAACACCUGCGGCGAAGGCGGGUUGCUGGGCUGACACUGACGCUGAGGCGCGAAAGCUAGGGGAGCGAACGGG
rnacentral:rRNA from 1 species